rnacentral:rRNA from 1 species
AGUCGAACGAACCUUCGGGUUAGUGGCGGACGGGUGAGUAACGCGUGGGAAUCUGCCCUCAGGAGGGGGAUAACGGCUGGAAACGGCCGCUAAUACCCCAUAUGCCGAGAGGUGAAAUGAAUUUCGCCUGAGGAUGAGCCCGCGUCUGAUUAGCUAGUUGGUGAGGUAAGAGCUCACCAAGGCAUCGAUCAGUAGCUGGUCUGAGAGGAUGAUCAGCCACACUGGGACUGAGACACGGCCCAGACUCCUACGGGAGGCAGCAGUGGGGAAUUUUCCGCAAUGGGCGAAAGCCUGACGGAGCAACGCCGCGUGAGGGAUGAAGGCCUCUGGGCUGUAAACCUCUUUUCUCAAGGAAGAAGAUCUGACGGUACUUGAGGAAUAAGCCACGGCUAAUUCCGUGCCAGCAGCCGCGGUAAUACGGGAGUGGCAAGCGUUAUCCGGAAUUAUUGGGCGUAAAGCGUCCGCAGGCGGCCUUUCAAGUCUGCUGUUAAAACGUGGAGCUUAACUCCAUCAUGGCAGUGGAAACUGUUGGGCUUGAGUGUGGUAGGGGCAGAGGGAAUUCCCGGUGUAGCGGUGAAAUGCGUAGAUAUCGGGAAGAACACCAGUGGCGAAGGCGCUCUGCUGGGCCAUAACUGACGCUCAUGGACGAAAGCCAGGGGAGCGAAAGGGAUUAGAUACCCCUGUAGUCCUGGCCGUAAACGAUGAACACUAGGUGUCGGGGGAAUCGACCCCCUCGGUGUCGUAGCCAACGCGUUAAGUGUUCCGCCUGGGGAGUACGCACGCAAGUGUGAAACUCAAAGGAAUUGACGGGGGCCCGCACAAGCGGUGGAGUAUGUGGUUUAAUUCGAUGCAACGCGAAGAACCUUACCAGGGUUUGACAUCCUGCGAAUCUCUUGGAAACGAGAGAGUGCCCUCGGGAACGCAGUGACAGGUGGUGCAUGGCUGUCGUCAGCUCGUGUCGUGAGAUGUUGGGUUAAGUCCCGCAACGAGCGCAACCCACGUCUUUAGUUGCCAGCAUUUAGUUGGGCACUCUAGAGAGACCGCCGGUGAUAAACCGGAGGAAGGUGUGGAUGACGUCAAGUCAUCAUGCCCCUUACAUCCUGGGCUACACACGUACUACAAUGCUACGGACAAAGAGCAGCAAGUUCGCGAGGACAAGCAAAUCUCAUAAACCGUGGCUCAGUUCAGAUCGUAGGCUGCAACUCGCCUACGUGAAGGAGGAAUCGCUAGUAAUCGCAGGUCAGCAUACUGCGGUGAAUACGUUCCCGGGCCUUGUACACACCGCCCGUCACACCAUGGAAGUUGGCCACGCCCGAACGCCGUUACUCCAACCCUUGUGGAGGAGGACGUCGAAG